rnacentral:misc_RNA from 1 species
GAUGAAGAACGUAGCGAAAUGCGAUAAGUAAUGUGAAUUGCAGAAUUCAGUGAAUCAUCGAAUCUUUGAACGCACAUUGCGCCCCUUGGUAUUCCGAGGGGCAUGCCUGUUCGAGCGUCAUUAUAACCCCUCAAGCUCAGCUUGGUGUUGGGGCCUGCUGCACUGGCAGCCCUUAAAAUCAGUGGCGGCGCCAUCUGGCUCUAAGCGUAGUAAUUCUUCUCGCUAUGGAGUCCUGGUGGAUGCUUGCCAUCAACCCCCAAUUUUUCUAUGGUUGACCUCGGAUCAGGUAGGGAUACCCGCUGAACUUAAGCAUAUCAAUAAGCUGAGGA